CUUAUCCUCUUGUUCCGCUCGUCCCUCACUCCUUCCCCAAAUCAUCUUCACACGGGCGCGCGUCUCGGCCACACGAGCUCCCACACGCACCGCCCUCUCCCAAGCGCUGCGCUUCUCGGCCUCGUCGCGCGGUGCGCCUGCUCCCUGUGCCGCCACUGCAGCAGGGCGUCAUCGGCGGGAGACCCGGGCAGAGCGCUGCGGUCCGCAGAGGUAGCGAGAGGACCGGACCAGCGACUCACGUAGGCAGCGGCAGGACGUGCAUGGCCGGCAUGGAGGCAUGGACCUGCUCGUCGCUGCAGCCGACAACAAGGGCGUCGGCCCCUUCCGUCGCGCGGGAAGCAGAUCGAAGGCGAUUCUGCCGGCCUCCCACUCCGGCGCCGCCCCUCCAGCGCGCGGAGAAAGCAAAUCGAAGGCCUACGAGCACGGCCUGACACCCAGCCAACCCGACGGAAAGCUUACAGGCUCUCACUGGGCCUCCACUCUCCUAAUUGUUCGCUACUCCGACUGCUAUCUCAUCCGCUGGGAAUGGACAAGACAGGAAGGGAAAAGAAGGUCGCUCCCAUGCUCGUUUCUGGGGAAGCGCCAUGGACGCAGCAGACGCCGUGGUUGAGCUUCCUGGAAGCCGCCGAGAGGAUGGACGGCGUACGUGGUCGAGCUCCGCCGGGAACGCAUCACGCCGUGGUGUACUAAUCUGGUGAUAAGUGUUGAUGUACAUCGUUCAGGUUGGGGAAUGAUUUGGAGAUUUUGACCGGUCAGGCCUA